rnacentral:rRNA from 1 species
AUACGUAGGGAGCGAGCGUUGUCCGGAAUUACUGGGUGUAAAGGGAGCGUAGGCGGGAGUGCAAGUCAGAUGUGAAAUACAUGGGCUCAACCCAUGGGCUGCAUUUGAAACCGCAUUUCUUGAGUGAAGUAGAGGUAAGCGGAAUUCCUGGUGUAGCGGUGAAAUGCGUAGAUAUCAGGAGGAACACCGGUGGCGAAGGCGGCUUACUGGGCUUUUACUGACGCUGAGGCUCGAAAGCGUGGGGAGCAAACAGGAUUAGAUACCCUGGUAGUCCACGCAGUAAACGAUGAUUACUAGGUGUGGGGGGACUGACCCCUUCCGUGCCGCAGUUAACACAAUAAGUAAUCCACCUGGGGAGUACGGCCGCAAGGUUGAAACUCAAAUGAAUUGGCGGGG